rnacentral:tRNA from 1 species
GCCUCCGUGGCUUAGUAGCUAUAGCGGCUGCCUCGUAAGCAGCAGGUCGUGGGUGCAACUCCCAUCGGAGGCU